AACGCACAUUGCGCCCUUUGGUAUUCCUUAGGGCAUGCCUGUUCGAGCGUCAUUUACACCUUCAAGCGCAGCUUGGUGUUGGGCGUCUGUCCCCCGGGAUUCGCCUCAAAAGAAUUGGCAGCCACUCCAGCGGCUUUGAGCGCAGCAGAAUUGCGUACUCUGGCGAGCAGGAGGCGGCAUCCACAAGCUUUCUUUCUAUUUUGACCUCGGAUCAGGUAGGGAUACCCGCUGAACUUAA
rnacentral:misc_RNA from 1 species